GCGGGUGUAACUCAGUUGGUAGAGUGCAACCUUGCCAAGGUUGAUGUCGAGGGUUCGAAUCCCUUCACCCGCU
rnacentral:tRNA from 3 species